UCCAAAUAACAGAGACCAGUUGGAUACACUCUGUAUAUUCCGGCUAAGAUGCGCGGCGCGCGCAUUUGCAGGGCAUCAAAGCCUUGAAUCUCAAUUCUACCGACGCCGACGGUGAGAACCGGCCGCAGAGGAGAACACAGGGAUAGAGAGACUCUUCGCUAUGGUGGAGGAUGACGACGAUUGGGGGGAUUUCGUCGACCAUUCCUCUCAGAUCGGCGAUGGUUUCGAUCUCUCCGGUGGACUCUCCUGUGCCCGGGCUUCUCCCAAUUCAAACACCUCCUCCGACAUGUCCCCGAAGAUUCAGUGGGCGACGUCUCAGGGGGCUAUUCCGCUUUCCAUUUUUGGGGAGGAGGAAGAGGAGGAGGAGGAGUUUGGAUCCGGUGUAGUUGGUUCUAGUGUUGGGUUUGGAGGAAUUUCGUCUGUUGGGAAAGAGAGUGGUUUGGCGAAGAAGGGAGGGGGUUUGGGUGUUGGGGUUCGGAUUGAUGAUUUGAUGGCGAAUUUGUAUAGUCCAAAUCAGCAGAUCAAAGCGGGAAGUCCAUUGAAAUCGAACAUGGAACUCGAUUCUUUGAACUUCAAUACUUCGUUGGAUUUUAAAUCUAGUGACUCCGAUUUGAAUGUCAAUGGGGUACAUUCUUAUGCUAGCCAGACCAAUUUUGAAAGCGAUAUUAGAGGUUUUGAAGCUGAUGGAGUGAAGCCUAAUGGGUUCCAUUCUUACUUGACAAACGUCGGUGAGAGCAAUGAGGAUGAUAGUGAGGAGGUGGCCGAUUUUGAUGGCUGGGAAUUUAAGGCUGCAGAGUCAGCUACGCCAACGGGUGAUGCUCAGAAAGCAAAGGUUGACACAACAAGAGAAGAAGCAUUUGAUGGAGUAGCACAGGCAUUUGAGUUUGCAAUCAAUGGACAUAGCCAUGGAGAUUUAAUUGUAAAAUCAAAUGGAGCUGUUAACAACAGAGAUGAAUGGGAUGUCGGUUUUAAUCUUGAUGCAAGCCCUGUGGCCCAACAUGGUGUCGGAUCAAACUCUCAAAAUGGUCAGAAUGAUCUAGAUUAUGGCUUAAAUCCUUCUCCUAUUGAUCGGAAUGCCAAUAGUGAUGGACCUGUUUGGGAUUUCAAGGAUGCUUUUUCUGAUGCAUCAGACUAUAAGUUGGAAGAGUUGAAGCCUGUCAUCAUUCCUCCUAAUGGUGUAGAGGUGCUUGUUCCGAAUGGUAGUGUCGAUCUUUCUUUGUUCGCUCCUGGGAUUUCUGACAAAUCUAAUGAACAACAAAAAUUUGACUUAAGUUUCAACCUGAAUUGGGGGAAAGAAGACAAUAAUCUUUUGAAUGGAAAUCAGGAUGGCAACUUCCAUGAUACUGGGAGAGAUUUAAACAAUUCUCUAGCUAAUGAGAAUGAUGAUUUCAGUGAGAAUAUUUGGGAUUUCAAGUCUGCACUUUCAGAUUCUGGAUCAAACAAGAAGGGAGAGCCAGUUGAAUCUGUGGCUGGUCUUGAAGCACCUGCUUUUGAUUUUAGCUAUAGUAGUCAGAGGAAUUCAGAGUUAUUGUCCAGUCAUCGGAAGGCCUUGCCCUUGUCAAUUCUUGAAGAUGAAGAGCUGGAAACUGCGGAUGAUUUUACAAUGAAUCAAGAUGCUUCUACCUUUAUAUCUGUCACCAGUGAAGGACGUAAUAACAAGAAUCCUGGUUCUAAUGUAUCUAUCAAUGACAUGAUAUCAAGUCUAUAUAAUCAAGCUGAGAAAAAUGGUUCCAUCAAUUAUUCCCCUGAAGAAAAUGAAAAUGGAAUAAAUUUAUCAUCAAGGAUGUCACAUUCCGAUUUAGGCAAUGAUGAUGAUGAUUCCUGGGAAUUCAAGAAUGCGUCACCGAAUGUUGACGUGACCGAUCAAACUUACGUUACCAUUCUUGGAGAUUUACCCACGCCGUCAUCUACUAAGCUACAGUUUGAUUGUUACAUGGAUUUUUAUCACAAGUUAAAUCUUGUUUUGAACCAUGUUGUUCACGGCCUUCUUGGGAAUUUAGAGAAUGCCCAAAGUAAUACCUCUCUUUCUGGUGAAAAUGCAAAAUUAAGAGCCAUUUGUGAAGAAAUUCAGAAUUUCAGUGCCGAACUGUCCCAAGAGAAUUUCACGACUGAUAACUUCUCAUCAGAUGUUUUCCUUCCAAAAAAUGCUUUCAGUGAAAUCUUUGAAAUGUUGCGGGAUCCAAGGUUUCAGAUUUUUGAUGAAGAAUUCCAGUUGUCGGAAAGGUUACCAUUGGCAGAAUAUGAUUUGACAUCAGCUGUUGAGCUCUUGAAACACGCUGUGUCAACUCUGAAGAUUCUCAAACUUGUGUCAGUGGAGAAGCAAUCUAAUUAUGUUUCCAUAUGGAACAAAAUGAUGUUUAUUUGCUUUCAAGAACUAAAACAUGGUGCUUUGAUUUGGAACGAAUCCAUACAGAGGAAUGUUGAAAGUUACAUAUUAUCUGAACCUCAAGGAAAACGGUAUAUCUGCGCUCUUGGAGAGAUUUAUAGGGUAGUUCAAGUGCUUAGAGCCUCAGUUACACUUUACAAGCCAUGGAUACUGUUGGGUCAGGUUGAUCCCAGUGGCUUGAUUUCUCUUCUAAAUGAGUGCUCCAAUAUUUGGACGAGUUCAGGACUCGUUGAGGCUCUCUGCAAGAUUGAUGGUCCUAUUGAUUGCAAGGCAUUAUUGGAUUCCAUCAAUUUUAUUCAGAAUCUUGAUGAAUGGGGUCUGAGAAAGCAUGUUCUCUUCGGACAACAGCCUACUUGUAAUCUAUCACUCAUAAAUGCUGAAUCAAUUCCAGGCUUGCAUUUGGUGGUCUGGGAUGGGGAGAGCUACUUUUUGAAGCUUGCAAACUUGUGGGCAAAUCUAAUAGACCGUGAUCCUCCAUUCAUUCAGCACCCGAAUAAUAGGUGAUAAGAGGGUUGAGUUGAUUUGUAUGAUAGUCUGGAUGAUGUGGCUGUUGCUAUUUUCUCCAAACAAGGUUUCGUCAGCUUCCGUCCCAGAUGCUCGUCCGUGUCGAUGUUUAAUAGGAAACACUAGAUAAUUUCACUUCUUGAGAUGAAAGUAAGAAAGGAGAACACUUUCUGGGUUUUCAAGAUCCAAAUAAAUCCAUCUGGGUCCCUUGGGAACCAUUCUUUAGAAGAGCCGGUACAUAGCAAUUGAAGAUGUUUCAUAUUUGUAUCAUAUUGUGCCCAGAACUGGAUGGAUUCAGACCACUGCAUAGAUAGAUAGAAAUUUCCUUUUAUUCCUUCUGGUUCUUGUUUAGAUGUUAUAUUUCUAGUUCAAAAUCCCAGAAUCAGAGUGAGUUUGCACCAAGAUAUUGUCUUACUGCUGCAACGCCUCAGUUGAAUGGGUAUGCUCUGAAAAUCUUCCAUGUGUAGUGUAGCAUUUCAUUACUAAACAUUUUAGUCGAUUAACAACUCUUGCACAUGAUCAAGUCUAUUAAUAAGAGCUUGAUUGUUGAUUGUUGAAA